rnacentral:rRNA from 1 species
AACGAACGCUGGCGGCAGGCCUAACACAUGCAAGUCGAACGCCGUAGCAAUACGGAGUGGCAGACGGGUGAGUAACACGUGGGAACGUACCCUUCGGUUCGGGAUAACUCAGGGAAACUUGAGCUAAUACCGGAUACGUCCGAGAGGAGAAAGAUUUAUCGCCGAGGGAUCGGCCCGCGUCUGAUUAGCUUGUUGGUGAGGUAACGGCUCACCAAGGCGACGAUCAGUAGCUGGUCNGAGAGGAUGAUCAGCCACAUUGGGACUGAGACACGGCCCAAACUCCUACGGGAGGCAGCAGUGGGGAAUAUUGGACAAUGGGCGCAAGCCUGAUCCAGCCACGCCGCGUGAGUGAUGAAGGCCUUC